GGCGCUGGCCCCCGAGCGGCGAACACCAGGUGCCAGGGCGUGAGCAACAGCUUGCGCGGGGGCCGCUCGGUCUCCACAGCCACGAAAGAGGCCCGGCGCUGCAAGUCCCGGUCCAGGAAGAGCAGCACGGGCGUGGGCACCACCCGGCCUGCCGCGUCUGCAGCCAGCACCCAGUCUCCGCGGUGCAGUUCCCGCAGGCCCUUCCGCUCUCCGCUUCGCAGGCGCACGGUGGCAUUUCCCGGAAAGCAGCCGCCUGCCCUGACCGCCAGUGAGUUAUCUGCAGGGAACAUGCACAGAGAUGACUGAAUCAAGACCAGCGGUUCCAGGAUGUACAGAUUCUCAAAGAUAUGGGUCGAGCCCAGCCGCAGACCUCAACCAGUCCUGGGACAGAAUGUAAUUUCCCAUGGAUCUGGCCCCAACCUGGGCAGAAAUGGAAGGAUGGUUUACAACCCUAACGCCCACUUGGUCUCCCCUACGGUCGCACCGGAGAGGUGCAGCCUCAGUUUCCCGGCAGGAGCCCCCUUUGGGUGGACCUCACCACCCACCCCCUACUGUACCGGCUUUGACCGACACGUGGACGUGGUUGCGGGACUCGUAGUAGACCCAGUCGAAGCCGGCUUCCACUGCCAGCCGCGCCAGCAACCCAUACUUAUUGCGGUCGCGGUCGGACGUGGUGAUGUCCAAGGCACGACCUUCGUAGUGGAGUGAGUCCUGAGCAUGGUGGCCAUCUUCGUCCCAGCCCUCGGUCACCCGUAGGCGCACUCCGGGCCACAUGUUCAUCACGGCAAUGGCCAGCGCGUUCACCCGCUCCUUACAGCGCUGGCGAGGAAUAAAGGAGUCAGUCUCCUCACUACCACUCUCACCUUAGGGGCAAAAGGGACCUGGACGGGAGGGUCGAUUCUUUGUUUUCCUGGCCUGACUCCACUCCCUCCCAGGUUUUGAGUGUCCCGGAGAAGUGAGAAGCCGAAUAGGUGCAGUCGUCAAUAAGCACUCCCUUUCCAGACCGUUAUGGGAGAACUGUGGGGUGCCCUCGGAGAUUGAUAGGGGGUGCCUAUAUCUAGCUCUUUCCCCACUUUCGACGCCCGCCCCUCACUCGUUAUGGGACCUCGGCUCAACCUGGAAGAGGGCAAGAGUUGAGAGGGCGGGUGGAAGCUCGGUCAGGGAGGGGUUGAGCAGCCUGGCUCCCGGAGAGGAGCCCCUGUUUGAGGCUGGCCCCCGCCCCAAGGCCCGGCUGCCCUCCCUCCGCCUGAUUCAUCUUUUGUUUCGUUGCCUUCCCUGGCACCGGGCAUCGCUUCCUUCCUUCCUUCCUCCUCCUCCUUUCGGCCCCUAGCAUUAACCCCUUCGUGGUGCGAGUGCCCCCCACAGAGGUGCCCAAGCGGAGCCGUGGGGGAUCAAGGCUGCUGGAAAAAGGGUUUGGGUGGCGGGGGCUGCGCGAAGUACAAUGGCCAUUCUCCGGGAUGACUUAACCGAGCGAGAAUCCCGGGCCGAGGCCGGGGACGCGCCGGGAGAAGCGGACUCAGCAGCUCCAUCCACAAAGGCGCUUUUCAGCCGCCCCGGCUCAGGGAGAGGAAAGGGCAGAAAGCCGCGCCCCCCAUCCCUGCUCCCGCCCGCCGGGCCCCCUCCCCCAGCGCGACCAGCCCUCCCAAUUCCAACUCAGGCUCUGCCAGCCCGGAGAGCCCGGUCUUUCCAUCUCUGUUCCAGAUGCAUCCCAGAAAGGCGUGGGAGUAGCACCUGAGAUUAGCAGGAGCUGCCCUUGCGCGGAACUGGGGGGCCCCCUGCAGGGUGGGAGUGGAGAGGAGGGAAAGCAUCAGUGGCUGGAAAGCCUGCACCCGGGGGAGUGAGACCACGGUUAUCUGGGCGGCUCUAGUCUGGGAGCCAGAGACCUUGGCACGCACCAUAGCACGGACGCGGCGGGAGGAGGCUCGGAGAGGACAGCUUCCUUUUCUUCUCCUCGCUCCGACCUCUCACCUCGGACUUGGUUUUCUCCUAAGUGCCAGAGGGGCACUUUCCCCCUUCCCUUCUUCCCGAGUUUUCUACACCUCCGCAGGGUUGGAGAGCAGGGGAGGGGAAGACAGGAAAAGUGGUAACUCCUUCCAACUUUUUGUCAUUCUGUCCCCUAAGGAGGCCCUGAGGCCUUGACCUGCGGGGGCAGCAGCCCAGUGCAGAGCCAACUCAAUGGAGGCCUUUUGCAGCCAGGGUGUGGGAGAUAAGCAGGACUGAGGGGUUCCCAGACCCGUUAGAGCCCCUCCUGGGCCUGUCCCUUUUUCUGGCCCCUCUGCUGCAGGUGGCAGCCAGAGGAACAGGUCACAAUAUUCCAUGACCAAGGAGGGAAGGAGUGUCCCCUUCCCAAUCUCUGAGUAGAAGUAGAAGGAAUUCUUUCUCCCCUGGACAGGUUUUCCUAACAAAGUAACCUGGAAAACUAUGGCAAUUAAUCGGAGGAAAUCCGUACCCCUCCCUCUCCCCCCACCUCCCCACUCCAUACACAAUUAGGUGGUGUAAUGGAAAGUGUAUAGGACUUAGAAUCAGGAGUCCUGAAUUCUAGUCCCAGCCAUGCCACUAAUUAGUUUUUAAGACUUUGAUUAAAUCGCUUUUCCUCUUGGGGCCCAGUUCUCAGCUGCAAAAUUGAGGCGGGGAG
rnacentral:lncRNA from 1 species